rnacentral:lncRNA from 1 species
UUUAUGAAUGUAAAACACUUUUAUAUUUCACAGGACAGAAUAACAUUGAUUUUAUUCCAUAAUUACAAAAAAUAUAUUUUUUUAUAUGUCAUCAGUUAAAAUUAAAAAAAAAUGGUUGUGCAUAUAAACUCUCUCAUAUAUUUAAAAUGUUUAUACCAAAAAAACAUAUACAUAAGAAAUAUUAUGUAUAUGUUAAGCCUUAAACAUUACAUUAUCUUCUGGCCUUCAGCACAUUCUUUUUUCGAUUGUUUUGGUACUACAACACCACAUUAACAUAAACAAGCAAUAUAGAAUGUUUACGUAAACUUACAAUCAAUCACUUUAUAUGACAAAAAAAUGCAAUUAAUUUUUCAAUUCAGUUCAUAACAAUUUCAAAUCAUAAAAAAAUUACAACAUAACUAACAUAACAUAAUCUAUACAGUUUACCAAAAAAUAUUUCUAAUACAACAAAAUAAAUGUAUUAUCUUUUUUAUCGGAACGUUUAGCUCUGGAAUUGAAUUCAUGUGUCACAACAUACUUUGACAUCACAGAAACAAGUGUUUUUUUAUCCUUGUACAUCUGUUUCACCUUCACAUCAAUACUCUUGCUAUCACAAAUAAAAUUAUCAACCUUGAAUUCCGUAACAUACAACACAUAUUGAUUAUGUGUCUCUGCAACUGCGAGAGCCAUAGCGUCUGAUUCAACACCCUCCACGCAAACAUCAGCUCAUGUAUGCCUAUCAAACUGUAUCUAAUUGGAAGACUUAUCAAUUGUUGAUAUGCACAAUGGAUACAUCACGAAUGUUGGUUGCGCUUUCUUCAACUCGACAUACAACCGCACUCCAUUUUCAUUACGGAUAUGAAAAGGUGAAGCAUUGCCGUCGACUACAUAACAUACAUCAAUAUUUUUUCGCACUUCAUCAAUGUUUAAUUCGGUAGCAACUGACGAAAUCAACUUCAAGUAACUUAUUGAUUCUGCAACAACUAUUCCUUCGCUUUUAUAAUUUACAUAUUCCAUUUCUGUUCUCCACUGACCAGCGUACCUCAAAAGGAUAGCAAUAUUCAUCUUCUUGAAGUCGAAUUUCAAUUUUUUCCUUCAAAACUAUCAACAUAAACAGUGAUUGGACUUUUCUUUGUGUGUGAAUUUCGUAUUAUUUGUUUUCUUGAAAUCGAAGAAAUUUUUUUUUCUUCAACAGGAUCAACAAAAUCAGUGAUUUUUUUCUGUGUAUAUGAAUUUCUGUGUAUAUGAAUUUCGUAUGAGCUUUGAAUUUCGUAUUAAUAUAUUUGACUAAUUAAAAAAAAAAUUUAAAAUUAGAAGUUGUUACAUAAUUUAAGGAAGACAUUAAUCCACUAAAUUAAUUUGUUGACUUAAAAGCAUGCUUAAAGGAAGGAAUCCGUUAUUUCCUUUUUCUACGCCAGAAACAUUAUCAGAUAUAUAUAGGAUUAUAUAUAUAUUAAUCGUAAUUUAUGUAUAUUAAAAAGGAAGAGAGAGUAAAGAAUUUAAGAAAAGUGGGAUGGGGUGUAAUUAGUUAUAAAAGGGUUGAUAUUUGUGUUAUUUACUCUUAUUAUAAAAUGAAUAAAUUUUGGAGGAUCAUAAUAAAAUUAAUAUAAUAUGAUUAAUUUUUGUGUAUUUGUAUUAUUUUAUUUUUAUUAUUAUUAUUUAUUUUUUUAUUUUAUUUUAUUAUUUUUAUUUCAUUGUCAUUAACAAAAGCUUGAUAAUUGUUUGCUAAAUUAAUUUAUCGCUUUAAAUGAAUUUUGUUCAAGUUUACUAUUAAGGUCAGGUAACACUUUGAGUAGGCAAAAUAUUUAAACGUUAGGCAAGUGUAAGAUAAUUGAUUUUUAUCUUGAAACCGCCUCAAAUGAAUAGUGUUUAAGAUUAUUGUUUAGGUUAAGUAGCACUUCGAAUGGAUAAAUAUCAAAGCUUUCAAACAUUAGGCGAAUAUAAAAUGACUAAAUUUUAUCUCGAUUAAGAAUGCGGCGUACGCAUCAUUUUGAGAUAUUUUAAAAUAAUUCAAGGAUGCAAUAUUGCACUUCGGCAAGGAUCGUUAAGAAUUAAAUUAUAUCGGCUUAAUUCAAGAAUAAUAAGCAAGUUUUAGUAUAUUAAAAAAUGAGCGAAUCAAGGCCUUCAAACAUAAUUUAUUAAAAUAGUUUAAGUAAGAUAAGUUGAUAAAAGCGACUGUGCUAGAACUACGGGACUCGAGGGGUGCCUCAUACCUUCCCCUCGGUCAACAAAAUUCCUUACUCGUUCUUCUGUUGUCACAGAUCAAAAUAACGAGUCAUUUCCUUUUGAUUAGGGAUUCAAUAAGGUAACUUGAAACACUAUAACUCAAUUUCAAGUGGAGACUCUGUAAAUAAAAUAAUCCCUACUUAAAAUCGUCACUUUAAUUGGAAAAACCUUUCGACCAUCCUCGACGAUAAAAGGAUGUGACAAGUAUUGAAGAGCAAAAAUAAAAGACCAUGAAUUCGAGGAACAAAAACACCAUCCAAAAAUGAAACGAAGGGCAGGACUACAAACAUCUAUUAUUAUACACACUCUUAUCUUGCAUUUCAAUAAGAGGUUGUUUCUACUGCUCAAGCCCAUAAUCUGCUUCUGUUGGUCACAUGACAACAACUUUCCAAUUACGACAAGGCAUGGUGCUUCCCUUCCUCACCUAAAAAAGAAGUGAUAAAAUUCAUCAUUUUCAUGGUAGUUUGAUUUGGGAAGUCAAUUUUUUUUUAUUAGAAAUAAGAUCUGUUUAAAAAGAUAAGAAAUAAUACAUUUUUAUGAAAAUGACAUUUUCAACCUACUAAGUGACAAUAAGGGCAUUUCUGGAUCAAACUAUUCUAAAGUAAAUAAUACUUCAGAAAUGCCUCGUUUGAUAAAAGUUUAGAGAAUUUAGCCUCUAUCAGCAUGACUUCGUAUGAAUAAGUUAUGUCUUAUAUAGCAUAACUUAUGCCUGUCAAUUUUAUUUUAUUUUGAGGGGGGGGGGGGGGGGGGGGGGGUGUGUAAAACAUAAUUUUAGUCUUACAAUUUUUCUAUAUUAGAGGUAUUUUUUGCCAUAUUUUUAUUGCCCAGAGUAUUGAAGAGCAAAUAUAAAAGACCAUGAAUUCUAGGGACAAAAACAUUACCCAAGAACAAAACAUUUUUGCGAAUAGGCCAUAGUUAUUUGUGCAGUUUGCCCAAUUCAGGCCCAUAUAUUUUGAAUAUGUUGAAAUGGUCUGAACUGGCAAGUAUUUAAUUUUUAGCAAGUUUUAUAAAUGUGGCAAGUAUAUAAUAUGCUGAAAAAGAAGAAUGUAUCAAAUAAUAACACAUCAAAUUUGUAGAAGAUGUUGCAAUUUUGUUGAAUCUUAUUUUGCCUAGUUAUUUUGGGGUUCCAACAUUCUGGUUUAAUGUAAGAGCAAUAUUUGAUCUGUGAGUUAUGUAUAUGUAUUAUUUUGAAUCCUAUCACAGCUAAAAAUCUGAUAUUUAAGUGGAGAAGCGUAAAAAAGUAAACCUAUUAUUCAAAUUAUUUUAAUUUGUAUGCGAUGGAUGUUUUUAGAAUAUUGAUUAUCAAAGUACACAAGAUAUACUUGAGAUAGUAUCAACACUUGAAAGAAGUAAAUAACUAAACAAGUUAAUGGGAAUUAAUUAUCUAACACUUAAUUAUUAAAUUGGUUACAAUGAAAUACUAUUGUAUUUCCUCUGUUUUCUAUGACGAGAGUUCUCAAAAUUAUAUAGCUAGUAAUUAAAUUACCACAUCACAAAAAGUACGAAUCAUUGUACCUACUGUUUCAUUCAACCACUCUUGUGAAAUAAUUUAUACUCCGAUAUUCUUUUUGAUUAGGAAAUAUAAGAAUGCUAAUACAUUAUAUAUGUGAGUUAAAUUGCAGAGAAACCCUACAGCUAAUACAUUAUACUUCAUUGGUUUCAAUUUAUUUAUCUAGUUUCGACUUGACACGAAAUUUAAGAAACUAAAAAAGAUUUUUAAAUUUUAUGAUCGUAAAUUAAAGAUAUAUAAAAUUUAUCAAAAUAUUAUUUAAUCUUGUGUUCUUAAACAUGUCACAUGAAAAGUUGUAAUUAAACUAAAAAUAAAAAUAAAAAUUCUUUUAUGAACAGACGAAAAAAAACAAGACAAAUAAAUUGAAACAUAAAAAAAAUAUAUAUAUAUAUAUGCUAAACAUCUUAUUUUUGGAGAAUACAGACUAGCCACCAACCAAUGUAAUCAGAUAUAUAUGGAUUGUAAUUGCUCCAUCUUUAAUUUUAUAUGAAUUGUAAUCGUUCCAUCUUUAAUUAAAAAAAUUUUGUUUGAAUUCUAAGGACAAAGACAUUUAUUAUUAAAAACACAUGAGCUUUAUACGAAUUUGAAUUAAUUAAACUACGUAGAAUGUACAAUAUACCGGACAAUUAAAAAAAAAAAUUACAGAAUAGAUAACUACUAAUCCACAGUAUUCACAUUUCACUCCCAACCCUCACCGUCACCCAAAAGACAAAACGAGUGAACAUUUUAUUUUAUUUUAUCUAUCUAAAAAAGAGCCUAUCCUUGGUUUAAAAAUUUCCAAAAAAAAAAAAAAAAAGUAGACGAGAUUAUUAAAUUAAUAAAAUGAAAGAAUAAAAAAACAAGUUGGGGAGAAAAAGGAUAGCCCUGGAUCAUUUGCAAACCUAAACCUAUAAGUAACUCAAUGACAAAAAGAAAAAUAAAAUACUGCUAUAAUAUACACUUCAAUUUAGCUUCAUGCCUGCAUGUGCACAUUGUUUUACUGAUACCUUUUUGUUCAUCCUGAACCAUAGGUUUAAAUAAUUCACACCAUACUUUGGCCGGUUUCUAAACACUGAGGUGAUAUUACAUAUCCUUUGGUACAAGGAUAAAAAAUUAAUUAAUUUCGUGAUUGAUUUUAUGAUAAGCUUAUCUCAUAUUUAAUUGAGAUAAAAUGAAUGAGAUAACUUUUUUCGAAAUUAAUUAUUACAAAAUUAUAAUGUUAUUUUUAUUUCAUUUUAAAAAUGAAAUAACUAAUUCUAAAACAAUCAAUCACGAAAUAAUUUAUUUUCCAACCAAACAACCUCAUGGUAAAUAAAUGACAGUCCGGUAAAUAAAAACUUCCGCUAUGUGUAGGGUUCGGGAAAGGCUCCACCACAAAAGCAUAUUAUAACGCAACCUUACCUUGCAUUUUUUACGAAGACUGUUUUAAAGGCUUCAACCUCUGACCUCAUGAUUGCAUUUUACUAGUUACUCUAAUGCUCCGCUUUAAACAACCUCACAGUGUGUUUUAAAAAAAAAAAUGGAAUAGAAUAUGUUGUUGAGACUUUAUUCUGGUUGUCAGUAUCAGUAUCAUAGGGGUCCAGCUAAAUAAUAAAAAAAGUACAUUAAACAGGGUGGAUGGCAGCAAAAUUAUAUUGUGCUCAGUGUCAUUUAAUUUAAUUUGUCCAUGCCUAUUGUGACAUUAUUGAUCGAGAAAAUAACAUUUAAUUUCUUUUGUCAUUAUGAAAAAAGAGUAAUAUUAAAAAUUUAUUAAUUAGGCGGGUUAGUUUUAUAUGAAAAAAUUAUACGGAUAUGUAUAUAUAUUAUAAAGUAGAGGACGAAUUUAAGUUAUAUAAUAUAUCUAAAUAUUAUUUAUUUAAAUAUUAAAUUAAAGAUGAAACUAUAUUAAUAAUAAAAAAAUUAUACUUUUAAUAAAACAUUAUUAAAUUAAUGUUAUUAAGGACAGUAAUAGUAGUAUAUUAAAUUAACGUAAUUAAAAUGUUACUAAAUUAACGAGGGGUGAACCUACGUGGUUGUCAUGGGGUUCACCCGAACCCCCUCGAUAAAAAAAUUACGUUGUAUAUAUAAAAGAUAGAAAAUGUAUAUUUAUGUACGUAUAUUAAUGUUGAACCACAUGAAACAAGACACUUAGAUAGCCCAGUGAUGUUAUUUGCUCUUUUUGGGCGCUUCCUUCGGCCUAUUGUGCGGGUUCGACUCCUGGUAAUGGCAGUUUUUUUUUAAUUAAUAAAAAGCUAGGUGUUGCUGCUAUAGAAAUAAAUAAAAUAAUAAUAAUAAUAAUAAUAUUUUUUUUAAUUAGAAAAAAGUUAGGUGCUGUUGCUAUAGAAAUAAAAAAAUAUUAUAAUAAUAAUAAUAAUAAUAAUAAUAAUAAUAAUAAUAACAAUAAUAAUAAUAAUAAAAAUAAAAAAAAGACGUCGUUUUAAAACAAAAAAUAAAACUUUAACAGUGCACAAAUAUGAUCUUUAACUAUUCAAAAUUGCACAAAUAUGACCUCUCUCCAAGUCAGGCCUUUUAACGACGUGGCAGCAUGUGAUUGGAUUACCUUUCCACGUAGGCGCGAGUGAGACUCACGCAUAGGGUUGCAAAAUCGGAGGUUAUAUUUGUUCAGAUUUUGAAUAGUUAAAGGUCCUAUUUGUGCACUAUCAAAGUUUAAAAUCAAAAUUAUAAUUUGGUAUCAAGUUUAGGGUCAUAUUUAUAUAUUAACUAUUUGGAUAAAGCAUGUGGAUAAUUUUAUUUUUUUUUUUUGAUAAUGAGUAAAGUGAAAUUCGAUCCUUCUGCUUGCUCUGAGAUAUCAUGGUGAAAUUCUUAUUGAUAAUAGAUAGCGAUAAAAUUCAAUCAUAGGGACCUCUAUCUGCUCAGGUAUUGUGAGGCAUUUUGCACAACCUUAAACACUCAGCUAUUAAACUCAAUUGCUUCAUUUAUGUUAAAGUUUAAUUAGUAGCAUUGAAAUUAUAUUUGACAUAUAUAUUUGUGUUUUUGUCACUCAUCACGCUAUCAGUGAUCGGUGUGAUAGAAUAUUAUGCCAUGGUCAUGUUGAAAAUUUUAUUGUUAUUUAUUUUAAGAUAAUGAUAACCUUGUUGUCUUCAAAUUAUUCUGAGUUCGCGUCUGAUCAACAUUGAUUUAGAUCCACAUCGAUAAAAAAAUAUGUUAAUGUGUAGAAGUACACCACCGUUAAAGGAUCAGGUCCCUGAGUAAAAUAUAUGAUAAUAAAACAGUAACACUCAGGGAAUAUAAUACAGUAAAUAAAUCAACACAAUGAUUUUACGUGAAAAUCUUCUUAGCUUGUUCAAGGGAGGAAAACCAUGGUCUCUUUACCACCAAAAAUAGUAACAUAAAACCCUUCUUCACUCAUGCUUGUCAUCUGCUCGUGAAUACCGUCCAGUCAAGUCUUUGUUCUUUUAUUCUGAAAUAUGGGUGCUAACCAGAUUCCCCAUGUUAUAUGCGAGGGUGCUCACAGACUCUCAAACUCCACUAUAAUCAAAACAAAUCUUAAUUACAGACUCCAUUAGAACUCAACUCUUAAGUUCCUCUAAUUGUAAUAACUCUAUUACAAUCACCUCUUGACAACUCUGUCAAAUUACUCUUGAGACUGGUUAACUCUGACCAACACAAACUUAGGUAACUCCACCUAAGAAACUCAAAAGCAAAAGGAAAACUUUACACUUAAUCUUCGAGUAGAUCAAUCAGAGGACUUGGCUCAAGGACACCAACACUAUGAGCAGUAAGAGUACUAGAACUUGAGCUUAGAGAGAGUUUUCAUCGCCACAGUAGAAUCCUUUAAUUCGCAAAAACUGUUGAGGAAGAAGUAUCUUUUUGUAUUUAUAGUAGUAUAGAAUAGUAUGGUCGAAUUAUGAUUGGACCAGGUGCUCAUUCUGGUACGUUGUCCACCUGCACAAUUAUUGUACUAACGGAUAAAAGUGUGCAGGGUAUGACAGUUGUAUCAACAAAGUAAGCAACGGACCUGAUCCUCUUAAGUAACAUCCUGUCAUCAUCAAAAUACGAGAUAAUAAUUCAUAAAUCUCCUAACUAGUAUUUACAAUUAAAUACUUCUAAUAAAUUUUUUAAUUCCGGAUGAUCAAACAACCCCUCAAGAUUAGAGAGGAUUCACUUUAUUCAUCACAUGCAAUUUCACCUUAGCAUGUAGCAAAAACAUUUCAACUUUAAUUCGACAUAACAUGAGUUGUUUGAGAAUAAAUGUUAAAAUCGAAUAUAAACUUUUAAAAUUUACGUAUACAUUUUCUUCAAUAGUAUUUCCUUUAUAUAAAAAGCUGCAAAAAUCAACAUUUAACUUUAUAGCCCUUUAGUCAUGUGGUAACAUGUAUAUAUGUUUUGUCUUUAAAGUUUAAAGUUCAAAUCCAUCAAUAACGUCUCAAAUUUGUCCCUAAAAUUUAUUUAGCCUUUUAAACGAAGGCUUGUACCUAUUAAACUCCUAAAUCCCUCCAAUUUGAUUUCAAUUGAACAUUUUUUGUCCACAUGGCACUGCGCGUGCAGUGCACUUCAAAAAGUGCGUGAGGUACUUUUUAAAAUUAAAUUACAAAUAAAAAUGUGCCAAAUGGCACUGAGGGCCCCAAAAAAUAUUAAUUAAAAAAUUUAUAUUUAAAUUAUUUUAUUAAUAUAAUUUUUAAUUAAUAUAAUUUCUUAAUUCUUUUUUGAUAAAAAGCACCCCACCCCUAUGUCAUAUUCUUCACAACACCCUAACCCCUCGUCUCCAUCCCACCCCGUGUCUUUAUCAUUUCAACCUUACCCCCACCUCACCCCACCCCACAUCUUCGCAUAAACAAAUUCAUUUUAAUUCAUCAUGAUUAUUCUCAUUUCUUGAAAAUUUUCAAUAAGAUUCACUUUUUUUCCUCCAUUAGUAUCACCAUUUCUUGAAAAGUUACAACAAAUUUCAAUAAAAAUCACUUUUUUCUUCAAGAAAGAUAACUUUUAUCACCAUUUCUUUUUUUUUCCUCCACAAGAAAGAUUACUUUUUUUUUUUUCAUUAAUAUCACCAUUUUAUAAAAAAUUUCAAUAAGAAUGACUUUUUUAUAGACCCCUUUUGAAUUCUUGAAGUAGAUUUAAACAAAAAUUUUNNNNNNNNNNNNNNNNNNNNNNNNNNNNNNNNNNNNNNNNNNNNNCCCCCCACAUCUUCAUAUGAACAAAUUCAUUUUAAUCCACCAUAAUUAUUCUCAUUUCUUGAAAAUUUUCAACAAGAUUCACUUUUUUUCCUCUAUUAGUAUCACCAUUUCUUGAAAAAUUACAACAAAUUUCAAUAAAGAUCACUUUUUUCUUCAAGACAGAUAACUUUUAUUACCAUUUUUUUUUUUCUCCACAAGAAAGAUCACUUUUUUUUAUUAUUAUUAAUAUCACCAUUUUAUAAAAAAUUUCAAUAAAAAUGACUUUUUUAUAGACCCCUUUUGAAUUCUUGAAUUAGAUUUAAACAAAAAUUUUAUGUGUGUAUUUUUGAGGAUCAUGGAGAAGCAAGAUUCACUUUAAUGGAGAAGCAGAGGAGGGGGGGAGAGGAUUAUGCUGGGGAAGGUGGGGGCUAGGGAGCGGGGCUGGGCUGGGGAAGGUGGGGGUUUCUAAAAGAUUUUAUAAUUUCUUUUUAAUAAUUAGUUUUAAAUUUUUAUUCUAUAAAUAAUUUUAUAAUUACUUUUUAAUAAUUUGGAUACUCAAUGCCAUUUUUUAUUUUAUUUUAUAAAAAAAUUUAUAAUAUAUUUUUAAUAACCUGUUUUUUAUUUUUAUUUUUUAAAAAAAUUUAUAAUUAUUUUUUAAUAAUUAUUGGAUCUCAAUGCCAUGUGUUUUUUCUUAUUGGUCAUUUUUGUCACAUCAUGCGAGUGUGUUACACACACUCUAUACCUUUUGUUGAUUGUCCAAAAAAAGCCUAAAUGGAUCAAAUUUCAGGUGGGUGAGGGGCCUGAUAGGUACAAGCCUUAGUUAGGGGUUCCAAGUGAAUUUUUGGGAUAACUUUAAGUGGAUGUCGAUGACUUAAGCCAAAAAUAUAAAACAUGAUUUACAUAUAUACAUUGUGUGUAUAGAUCUCGUAUCAGAUUCAAAAAAAUCAAAAUAAAAGGGAUAUAACAAUAAUGAGGGAAAAAGAAAGAAGAAAUAUUUGACACUAGCAUAUAUAUAUGUGUGUGUGUGUGCCGCACAUUAGAAAAGUGAUUUGAACUUUUUGUCCUUCAUUAAAACAUUCUGUAAUAGACAAAAUCGUCUUUUCAUCCCUUUUCUUUAAUUUAUAAUAUAAAUAUUGACUAUAAUAAAUAUAUAAAAUAUUAAAUGGUGAAAAUCUUCUUUCACUUACAGUUAGUUGAAUUCUAAAUUUUUAUUUUUUAAAUAAUUAUAUAAUUAAUUUUUAAUAAUUAUCGGACCCUCAAUGCCACAUGGCAGCUUCCAAUUAGCCCUUUUUGCCACAUUAGCGCGUGUGUCCAAUAUACACUUUGAGCUUUUAGCUGAUUGGGUAAAAAAUGUCCAAUUGGAACCAAAUUGGGGGGAUUUAGGGGUUUAAUAGGUACAUACCUUAAUUUAGGGAUCUAAGUGAAUUUUAGGGACAAAUUUGAGAGGCUAUCGAUGGGUUUGGCCAAGUUUAAACAAGAAAUUUCCAUAAAAUGGUGACAUGGAUCCCAUAUCCCUUAGUUGGCUGUAAAACACCAAAAUAUUUUACAAAGUCAAUGUAAAAUCACUUUAAAAAAAGUGCAUCUAGGAUUUAUCAAAGAGUGUGAAAAUUAAAGAGAGAAAAAGGAAAAGAAAGAACUACGUUUUUGAUCUGUGAGCACAGGCGCAGCCGGCCUUUGUAAUGACGUUCACUAAACCCCUUUCGUGAAAAAUUGUAUUAGUUAUACAUCAUUAAUAUUAUAUUUUAUGUGUAUAUAAUAAAUAUCAAACUCUUUUCGAUUAUUUUUUUUUUUUAAUUUUGAACCCCUUCGUGAAAAUACUAACUCUAUCUCUAUCUGUGGAUGAAAUUAGUUGUGCAUAGAUCAGGAGUAGAGCUGGUCUUGGACAAGAGGUUCAUCCGAACUCUUUCGAUGAAAAAUUAUAACUAUUUAUUUGUGGCUAAAAUUAAUUUUAAUGUGUGUGUGUAUAUAUAUAUAUAUAUAUAUAUAUUAGAUAUUGAACCCCUUUAACUAGUUUUUCAUCAAACUGCCAUGGAUGAUAUUGCGGAAUCCAACUCCUCUCCAUUACCUUGUCUCUCCAUUUCGUCAAAUACAUAUAGAUGAGAGAAAUGUGCAAAUAAUGUCGAUCUACCGAGAUAAUUAUGUUAUAAUCAAAUUUAGAAACGUAAUUAUAAUUUCACGUGAACCUAAUAAUUUUUAUUACAGUUUAUAUACACAUAUUUAGAAAUCUACUAUUCUUAUAGUAUUAACUUGAGAUCAGAGAUCAGCCUUAAAAGCCAAAUGACACACUUAUAAAAGAGUACUUUCUCUUCCACUAAUCGAAAGCACUCUAAAACUAUAUAGUAAAUUUAAUUAAGCCAUUAGUUAUGUGUGCAAAAUACAAAAGAAAAAGGAAGCAAAAAGUCAAGCCACCAUAGAGCAUAUAUUAAUAAGAAGAUAAUGAAAGAUUAAUCAACUUGUUUGAUUUUGGAAGCAAAAUUAUACUUUUCCAUUUCAUGCAAAUCAGGAAAAGCACUUGGUCCUUUUGAGUUUUUUUUUGCAUGUGGAGAUCUCUUUCAUAUAUUAUUUUGGUCAUAAUAUAUAACGUGUCGUUUAACUUGAUCUCAACUAGUAUUUAUAUUCUUCAAUUUUAAGUGUGCACAACUAAAUGUAAAUAUAUAUGUCCUAUGUGGCGUUUUACUAGACAAUUCUGAUCCUACGUGAUGUCCUAUCUGUAUUAUGUCACGUAGGUCGAUGUGUGUGUCUAUUUUAACUUUUUAUAAGUUUAAGUGUCUACUUAUACGCGUCUAAAGUCGAAAAAUAUAAUUAAUUAAGAUCAAAUUAAAGAACAUGUUGGCCUCGAAUAAAAUUUAAUCCCAAAAUAUUGGAGGAGUGAUUUUAUUUUAUUUUUUUGAAGUUUGAAUAUUAAUAACCAUGUCAUCGUCAAAGCCUCUUUGUGACAAAUCAAUUUUCAUAAUCCAACACUACACAUGUUUUUUCAUUUUCUUGAUAGGUCCAAUUAACUACUUCUCUUUUAACUAGCUAGUACAAUCACGAGUCCAUUUGGAUUGGCUAAUUAAAAAUAAUUGAUGAGUUUUUAGGUGUUAAAAUUAAUUUUUAAUUUUCAUAAAUAAUGGAUGAAGUAAGGUUAUGUAAGUUCGAUUUUUUUUCUGAAUCCUACACAUACUAAAAUUUUAGUGUACUGGAUUGUUUCAGUAAGUGAUCAAAUAAAAAUACUAUAAAUAAUAAUAACCAAUGUGUUUGAUAAAAGAUGCAUUGAUAAAUAUUUUUUUGUUAAUGUAAUGUCCUUUAAAAGUAAAACUAUCUAUAAACUAUAAAUUUAAAAUAUUUACGUAGGAAAUUUCUCUCAUAUUAAGCGGUUCACAAAAGCUAAGUAAAACAAUAUUGUGUAUCAAUAGAGGCAAAUGUAUCUUAUAUUUAAAAAUUUUAAUUGAACUAAUAUUUUAAUAAAUAUUAAAUAGUAAAAAUAAAUAACUUUAAUUUUAUCCAAAUUCAAGGAUUUUAUUGCAAUAUUAUGUUGUGAAAUCAUUUUCUUCUUUUGAAAAAGCAAUAACUCCAAUAGACACAAAAAUUGGGCGGUGGAGAACUACAUAAUAUUGACUCAUCAUCAAUGUUUAUAUUCUUGUUUUCAACUUCAUGACAUUGAUGUGUUUUUGACUCAAUUAAAGUUCUAUUUUUUUUUUUUUUUGUACUCUUUUCUAAAAUAAGUUUUAGUAUUUUCUUAACUUAUUUUUGAAGAAAGCCUCAUUAUACUACGCCCUGAGGAAUUAAUUACUUAAUAUUAUAGAAUAACUUCUAAUUGCAAGAUCUUUUUUAGAUAUUCCACAAUGACCCGGCUAUUCACUGGAUGAGAGAUAAAUCAUUAAUCGUAUAUCGAUAAGUUUAUGAUGUUGAUUUUUGUAAAAAAAAAAAUUAAAAAAAAUCCCAAAAUUUGUUUGUUCUUUUUCUGAUAAAUAUACAGUGAACUAAUAAAUUAAAUUAUAGAGUAUGAGUAUACUAAAGGAUUUUGCGUUAAUUAAGCCUCAAAUCAGUUUUUUAAGUUUCAAAAUGCAAUGAUUUAUAUAACCAGGAAAUUAAAGUUCAUGGACAACUAAAUUGGCUUCAUUAAUCAUUAUUACUUAUUUAUUGACAACGGGGGUCAUAUUUGUCCCUCUAUUAUUGAAAUACAUUUAAUAUUUGUUGAUCCACAUAUGUAUUUAAUAUGUAAAAGUGGUUCGAAUUUGUUGUAUCACUUGUUUUAGCCAAAAUGAUAUGCAACUCAUCGUAUAAUUUUUCUUCUUUCGUUACUAUCCACAGUCAUCAACACCUUCACCGUAUGAGUAGUUAGUGACAAAGUCAAAAAAUUUGAUAAGAAUACUCAAGAAUUAGUAUAUACUUUUGAGAAUUACUUAUAUAUUUCGUUUAUAAUUUUUCAACGAGAUGUUCAAUUGACCGGCCACCUCUUCAUAUAUGUCACUUAACUUAUUUUUCAUAGAAUAAUUAAUUUUUUCAUAGAUGAAUGAGAUAGAAUGGCUAACAACAACACAUUUAUAAGUGAAAUUUUUUUAUUGAAAUGACAAAUCUUUCACAUUUUCAGGAAUUUCUUCAGCAAUUCACGUUACAAAAAAAAAUUGAAAUAUUUUCAGAAAUCUAUCAAAUCUCUGAGCUAAUCUUUUCAAUAAUUCACAUAAGUUUAUGAAAUGUAGUUUGCCUAUUUUUUGGCAAACCAUAAUAGCAAUUUUUCACCUUAAAUGGUUGACAAACAGUAUUAGUUAUAAUUUACCCCAAAAUAGACAAACUGUCCGUUUUGUAUUCAAACUUAAAAUAGUGUCCAUCUUAAUUCCUAAGACUAAAACGGUAUCCAUUUUGGCUCCAAACUCCUGUCUUUAACUUAUUUGGAUCUUAUGUGCAACUUGAUGUUUUUUGACUUUUUAUGUGGUGUCCAGAAUCUAAGUACUAAUAUGACAUAAAUCAUUUUGAAAGGUAUAAUUAAAUAUCAAAAGGAGUUGUGGUGGUAUAAUUGGAAUUCGUUCAUCCUUAAACUAUUUUGGAUUUGAGCUUUGAAAUAAGAAAAUUAUGUUAGGAGAGUUGCCUGCAUAAAUGGGCUUUAUAGUGCAUAAAUUUAAAUAAAUCGAAUUUCAAUAUGAAUACUGAAUAUCGGGCGAAAAAACAAAACAAAUAGAAGGGCUAAAUAAAUUGCAUGAAAUUCACUAUAUGACAUUUUAUAAUUAACACAAUAACCACUUCGAUCUAUUAUAUUUUACCCAAUAAUUAGAUGGGUGGGAUUAAUUAUUAAAUUACACUAUUAUAUUUCCUCGAUGACGAAUUAUACAUUGAUUGAUUUUGAAAUUUGAUAUCCAAAAAAUUGUGACAUUGCACCUACCUCAUUCAUUCAAUUAAUCUUGUGAAAAUGUCAUAGGAAAUCCCAUCCAAAAAGCAUAUAUAUUUAGGAAAAUAAAACUAUUUUAACUUAAGUAUAUUAUUCUAUUCCAAUAAUAUCAAAUACUUGCAAUUGAAGUACGUUUUAUAAUAAUUGUUCCGAGUUGAUCUGUCCAGAAUUUAAGCACUAAUACAUGACAUAAAAUUCACUAUAUGUUAAAUUAUAAUCAAAUUUAUAUUUUGAUCAAUAAUUAGAUUGGUGGGUGAACUAUUUAUUAUUAUUUUUUCUUUUGUUUCAUGAUGAAGAGCGUUGUAGAUAAUCAUUGUAUCUAUAGCAACCUCAAUCCAUUCAACUAAUAAUGUGAAAAAUGUCAUAGGAAAUCCUAUCCAAGAGCAUUUUGUUUAUAUAUGAGAAAGCAAAAAAAAUUGGUCUACCAAUAAAGUUUCACAUUAUCGAAAAGAAGGAUUGUUGGGAGCAAAAAUCUUGUUGAGAGCAUUGUCCCUCAAAAUAGUUUCUGCAAUCGUAAUUCGAAUCUAUUUGAACUCUAAUAUAGAUAUCGAAUAUUGGGUGAGAGAGAUGAAGGGUGGAAAGAUAUUUUUGAGAUAUAUAUAUUUAUAGGAAAUAAAACUUUGUUACUUAAGUAUGUAUUUCUAGUUCAAUAACAUCAUAAUUUGCAAUUAAAGUAAUCAUAAGAAUUAAGCAUGCAAAGGUUUAUAAUUCCAUGAUGUUUGCUUGGUUUAGGAACUUGACAUGUUUUGCUUGGUCAACAAUGGAAACAUUGAUAAUUGUAUACUACUCUCUCGGUCUUAAUUUAUAUGACAUAUUUUUUUUAUUUCGUCUUAAAAAAUAUGUAUCUUUCCUUAUUUGACAAUUAUAUGACAUAAUUCUCAUUUUAUCCUCAUUGGGUCCAAAGUCAAUCAAAGAGUUGCACUAAAGUGAUUUUAAUAAGAGUAUAUUAAUAAAUAUAAUAAAUUCUUUUCUUAUUUCUUAAACUUCGUUGUCGAUUAAAUUAUGUCACACAAAUUGAGAGGGAGGAAGUAAGUAUAUUUAAAAUGGAAGAGAUCUACUAUCUUAAUUAUUGCAAAAAUCAUGACCUUGGUUUUAUUUUGGGUUGGACAUUAUGGCCUUAAAAAGGUUAUAUAGUUAAUUUAGUUUUAGUACAAAUUUUAACAUUCAUAAAGUCACUACCUUUUUACAAAUCUUAACAUUCACAAAUCACAACCUUUUUAACCAUUUUAUUAGAAAAGGUUUUAACCCUUGUCCAGAUCCAGAAAGUAAAAGAUUUGCAGAUAUAAUGAUACCAUAAAACAAAAUCUAAUAUGAACAAAUAAAAAAGAAAAAAAAUAUCUUUCUCCCUUUAUAAAAAAAAUAAAAAGAAUAAAGAACCUCCAGCCCCUAAAGUAUAAAAAUCCCAACUCUCUUUGUCCCCACAAGCAGCUGCUGCUGAUACAUUUUGGAUAAGCCACUUUCAUUUCUUCUUUAUAAAAAAAAAUCUAAAUUUAAUAAUUUCUUUAUUUCAAUUUCUAUGAUGAAAAUUUUGAUAUUUAUUAUAGUUUUUAAAUAUAAAAGUUAUUCUUCAAAAUUUUUAAAAAUUGUAUGUUUAAUUGUAUUAUUUAAAUUUUUUUUACGUAGAAUAUUGGAAUUGAAAAACUUCUAAAUAUAAAAAAAGCACUUUUUUUGAAAUAGAUCAAUUAUUCCCCAACUAAAUUUUAGCAUAUUUUUAUCAAAUUUUUUAGCGACAUGAUAUUUUUUGUCAAUUUUUUUAAGCUGACGUAACCUUUAUUUUAUGUAAUAAAGAUGUCGCAUUAACAUAAAAACGUAAUAAAAAUAUGUUAAAAUUGAGUUCAAGAGAUAAUAAGAUUCCCAUGAAGUUGGCGUGCGUAGUAACUUUCACCAUUGUUCAGGAAUAUUAAAUGCUUAUCCCAAAUUGAAAUUAAAAAAAGUAUUCAGAUUUAAAAGGUCGGUGUGCCUCAAUCUUUUUAGCUAAUAUGAUAUCUUUUUUCAACUUUUUUAGUUGACGUAAUAUCUUUAAUGUGACUUUUAUUUUAUAUAAUACUAAUAUUAUGUCAGUACAAAAAUAUAAUAAAAAUAUAUUUAAAAUAAUAAAAAUAAUAAAGUUAAAUAUGUCGUAACAAUUUUGAGCUAGUUGAGGAACACUGGAUGGUUACCUCAAAUUGAAAUAAAAAAGUAUUCUGUAUAAAACACUUGUGAAGGAAGCCAGACAUGUGAGUGGCAGAAGAAGAAGGCAAAAAGAGAGAAAAACAACAAAAGCCUCUUCUUCUCUUCUCUCUCAAUCUCAAAACUUAAAAAGUUCCCUUAUGUGAUAAUUUGGUUUUUGGCUUUGCAUAUACAUCACAUAUAGCCACCAUACACAAAAACAGAGUCCAAAAACACACCAUUAUUAUAUUUUUGUUAUAUAUUAUGCUUAAGUAGUAGUAUAUACUUUUAUUAUCUAAGUAUAAAGAUUUAUGUUUUUCCAAAAUAUUUCAAGAGCAAGAAAUCUCUUCCCUCCAUUGAGAGAGUUCCUUUUAUACAAGAAAUAGAACAAUUAGUACUACAAAGAAUAUAGCCUCAUUUCAAUUGUUUUUUUUUUUUUUUUUUUUUUACUUACAAAGAUGCUUUCUGUCAUUUGCAUUCUGUUGGUCUCAUUUUUCCCAUUAAUUAUAGUUUCUCUAAAUCUUACCCUUCCUCAUCAACAUCCUUACCCUGAAGCUGUGGUUCAAGAUGUACAAAGGUGAUAUUUCUUAGUUUGUUUGGACUCUUUAAAAAUGUUAGCAGAUGCAUGUUGAAUCCUUUAAAAAUAGCACAUUGAGAGGAUCCGACACAGAUGCUGUAAUUUUUUAAGAGUCCGAGCAAUUUAGCAUGACAUUACUUCAUAUUCUUAUAUUUGUUUAUAAAUUUCGAAAGCAUUUCUUUUGAGUCUGAGGGUCUAACCGGAAUAACUUCUCUGCCUCACAAAGGUAGGGUAACGUCUGCUACUUUCUAUACUUUCCGGAAAUACCUCAUUUGUGAGAUUAUACCGUGUGCAUUGUUAUUGUUGUUUGUUGUUUUUUUGGAUAUCUCUGUUUUUCCAAGAAAAUCCACAAAAGUCUCAUAUGGGCUCCCCUGUUUUUCACAAGAAAAUUCACAACAUCCCAUCUUUUUUUGGGGGGUGGGGGUUGGGGGGGGGGGUUCAUAUCUAUUUUAGAGCUCGACUAAUUCAAUUUUGCAUCAGGAAGUCCCACAUUGACUGUAAAAUGCUCUUUAUUAAGCUUGCCCAAUAGCUAGAGCUCGAAACGAAGAAUCCUGAUUAAGAAUGAAACAGUACUUUAUCGCGCUUUUCUGUUUAUACAUUUUUUUUUUUGCCAACAUCCUUCACAUUCCCUUCUAUCAAUAGCUCAUCAAAACAAGCCUUGUGAUUUAACUCUACAUUUUCUUCUUCUAAUUUGGUUCUUUCCUGUAACAUUAUCUUCAAUUAGUUAGAUUUCACCAAAAAACAAGGUACUUAAAUUUUCUCAUAUCAUACCAUUUGAGCCAUGGCGGAGCCAGAUUUUUUUACUAAGAGGAUCGAAAUAUGUAUAAGUAAACAUAUAGGGAUUUCAACAUGUACAUACUUAAUUUCGAAGUUUUGAUGGAAUCCCGAAGCGUCAGUGCAUAAUUUGUUUUCCCCUCUUUUGUCUACAGGAAGGUGAACGAAUCAUUUUCCAGAAGACAGCUGUUAGACGCCACAAUAAACACCCAAUGUCAAACAGGCAACCCAAUAGACGAUUGCUGGCGCUGCGACCCAAACUGGUCCAAAAACCGCCAGCGCCUAGCCGACUGCGCCAUAGGCUUUGGCCAGGGGGCAAUGGGAGGCAAAAAUGGGAAAUACUACGUCGUAUCUGAUUCCUCAGAUACAGACGUAGUAAAUCCAAAACCAGGAACUCUACGCCACGCCGUAAUCCAGGAUGAACCACUUUGGAUCAUUUUCUCAGGAGACAUGUACAUAAUUUUGAAGCAUGAACUCAUAGUCAACAGUUACAAAACAAUUGAUGGACGUGGAGCAAAAGUGCAUAUAACAGGCAAUGGAUGUAUAACAUUGCAGUAUAUCAGCAAUGUGAUUAUACAUAAUAUACAUAUAUACAAUUGUCGUCCAUCGGGGAAUACGGAUAUAAGGUCUACACCAACGCACGUUGGACAUAGAGGAAGAUCGGAUGGCGAUGGUAUAUCGAUAUUUAAUUCAAGGAAUAUAUGGAUUGAUCAUUGUGCAUUAUCACAUUGUACUGAUGGUUUAAUUGAUGCUAUUAUGGGCUCAACUGGAAUUACCAUUUCGAAUAGUUAUUUUACUCACCAUGAUGAAGUUAUCCUAUUAGGACAUGAUGAUGGAUACUUGCCUGACUCUGGAAUGCAGGUUAGUUAAAUUUCAAAUUUAUGGUUCAAAAUUAUUAUAUUCAUUUUGAGUAACUUGAUUCUGACUUAAUAAUUUAUACAUAUCAACAUAUGACGUGUAAACUUUUGAUCAAAGCUAAUGAAUUUUAUCAAACUUGUACUUUCUAGUUUUGACUAUGAUUUAAAUUUUAAUAGGUGACAAUAGCAUUCAAUCAUUUUGGAGUAGGGCUAGUACAAAGAAUGCCAAGGUGUAGAAGAGGAUAUAUACAUGUAGUGAACAAUGAUUUUACAGAAUGGCAAAUGUAUGCGAUUGGUGGAAGUGCUAAUCCUACUAUUAAUAGUCAAGGCAAUCGCUAUACUGCCCCUGUGGAUGCAAAUGCUAAAGAGGUAUUGUCUCUUAUUUGUUCGAAAUUUUGCUUGACAGAGUUAUUCGAUAUCUGCAUUGGUAAAAGAUAGCAUAUACUCUUAAAAUUAUUCAAAAUGCGUCCAAGUUAAAUUGAGAAAUCACCGUUUUAAGGAAAAAGUGAUAUAUAUUAUACAAAGCUUAAAUGUCACAUUCAUAUGUUUUUUUCAACUUGAGAAAAGACCUCCCUAGAUAUAACACAUGCUUUCCUGUUUCGCUGCCUGAUCUUUCAUGGAAAAUUGACUUUGUUGUAGGGGACCAUAUUUCAACUUCCCAAUUCCUACUGGAAAAACCAUAUAUACCCUCAUCAAUCAAUAUUUCUUCCCUUAUUUUCUCUCGACCCAUCUUUGCUUAUUCACAUUUGAUUUGACACGCCUCUUAAAAAACUAUGAAUAACAAGAAUAUUUGUUUAACAGGUGACAAAGCGCGUGGAUACAGACGAGGGGGAGUGGAGUGACUGGAACUGGAGAACCGAAGGGGAUGUAAUGGUAAAUGGCGCAUUUUUCGUGCCAUCUGGUGAAGGAAUGAGCAACCAAUAUGCCAAGGCGUCGAGCAUGGAGCCACAAUCCGGUGCUAUUAUCGAUCAACUCACUCUCAAUGCUGGUGUUUUUGGUGCCCCAAGGUACACCCUACAUUCCUCAUAUUAUCACUUUUCAUUUAAUAUCUGCAUUAUUCACUUUCAAACUAUCAAAUAAACAAUCCCUAAGUAGGGGAUGUAUGUGACAUCCUAAGCAAUUUUCAUAUCAAGAAAAUACAGGUCAAAUGUUAAAAGUACAUUAGAAUGAGUUAAACUUUUAACUGAUGACAUAUAUGAUCCAUUUUUAAUAGUUUAAUGGCAUAUUUGAGUCUUCCCUUUUAGACUUUAGCUGGGUGCACUAAAGUCAUGUAAGCGUGGACUAAAGUGCAUACUAUCUCAUUUGGACUAUGCUAUUGCAUAUAGUGGGUGAUAAAAGAUAUAAAAUAUUCUAAUAAAAUAGUUGACGUUAGCCAAGUUGGAUCAAAUAGCACUACUAUUUGGUUUUAAAGGAAAAAAAAACAAAAGAUGAUGACCAAAAGCUUUUAUUAUCUUUAAACUUCAUAUUAAUUUUUCUAUAGAGCCAACCUGCUUCUAUUUGUUCUUUCAUAUUGUCUAAAGAAUAGAAAGUACGGUGUAUUUUUUAAAGAAUAAUGAAUGUAUAUUUGCUUUAGCAGAAAGGGUAGAAUAAGUACAAAGCUAUGAUACAUGGAUCCACGUGAUCAUAGGGACAUUGAGAAUCUAAAAACUAAACGCAACCCCAAAAUAGAGCUUUGUGAUACGUAGUAUUUGAGGUGUCUUUUUCUAUAGUUGAAGUCCACAUAGAUUUAACUAAAGCCACUUAUCUUUUCCUGCUCGAUGUAUGAUACUUCCUCCGUUAAUGAAUUAUUGAAUUUAGACACAUAUAUUAAAGAAAAAAAAAUUAAAAAUAUAAAUCUAACAUAACUUUUUAUUUUUACCCCCAAAAUAGAAAGAGUUGACCUUAUAAUGUUUUUUCAAAAGUUAAUUGAUUGUCAAAUCGUAAGAGCAAAUUUGACAAAAAAUUCAAUGAUUCACUUAUUUUGAAACACCAAUAAAUACCCAACAAUUCACUUAUUUCGAAACGAAGGGAGUACUUAUUAAGUAGUGACGGACUCAAAAUUUAAGGAUUGUGUAUGUUUAAAAAGUUGAAACACACAUAUUAACACCUAAAGCUUUAAGUUUUCGUCUGAAAAUCAAAGCACUCAACUAUCUUUUUGAUUUUACAACAACAACGACAAACUCAGUGUAUUCCCACAAAGUGAGAUCCAGGGAGGGUAAAAUGUACGCAGUCCAUACCGCUACCUCCGAAGAAGUAGAGAGAUUGUUUUCGAUAGACCCCCGGCUCAAGAUAAAGAAUAGUACACAAGGUCGUAAUGAAACAUGAAGCAGGAUGAGUGGUAUAACAGAAAUAAGGAAUAAGAAAUAAUAAAACUAGAUAUCAGAGAAAUACAAAAUAAGAGAAAUAUGAGCAGUUCAAAAUAGGAAAUAAGAAAUAAGCCACUCACCUAGUAGUAACAUACACUCACAUAUCAAAGACACCCACCACACCCAAACUCUCCUGACUAGAGACUCCUACUUAUGGACACAGUCCUAGGAUUACUAACUCGGCUACACAAGCGCUCUCUUAACACCUUGUUACAACCCACACACUCACACUAGCCUUCUACCCUUAUUCGUGACCUCCACACCUUCUUGUCUAGGAUCAUGUCAUCAGUAAGUUGUAGCUGCUCCAUGUCAUGUCGAAUCACCUCUCUCCAGUAUUUCUUCGGCCUACCUCCACUCCUCCUAAAGCCAUUCAAAGUUAGCCUCUAACACCUACGAACUGGGGCAUCCGUGCCCCUCCUCAUCACAUGUCCAAACCAUCUCAGCCUUCCUUCUCGCAUCUUGUCCUCCACCGAAGUCACUCUCACCUUAGUCACUCUCACCUUCUUCCGGAUAGUCUCAUACCUAACUAUCUUCUUGAUUUUAUGGGUGUUUUUUUCAUUUUAUAUCAAUUUUUAUACAUCUUUUUAUAAUUAUACGUAUUCUUCGUUGGAUUUAACGAGUACCGAAAAAUCAUAUUUUUUAACCUAGGUCCACUUGUAUACUUGAGGAUGAAAAAAAAAAAGACUCUACCCAAGAGAUUUGAACCUUAGACUCUAGUUAAGGAUGAAGAAGACUUCACCUAGUAAGCUCGAAACCUUUAGUUAAGAAUGAAAAGGACUCCAUCCAACAGGCUCGAAUAAAAGACCCGACUCCACCAAAUAGGCUCGAACAGAAAACCUCUAGUUAAGAAUGAAGCAUACUUCAUCUAAUAGGCUUAAAUUAGAGAUCUCUAAUAGAGAAAGAAAGAAACUCCUAUCAAUAGAUUUGAACUCGAAAUCGCUAAUUAAAAAAAAAAAAAACAAAAAAAAACUCAUCACCUACUAUAAUCCUAAAGGUGAUGGAGAUAUCACUGCUCAGGAAUGGGGUCCAUUUUUUCUUGGUUUUGGAUUUGAUCUAACUCGUGGUCUUAAUGACUUUUAGCCUUACACAUUGUCGUGGAUCUAUUAAUUAUUUUUUCUUUGUUAUAAUUCUGAUUUUCAAGUCAAUUUUCACACAUCUACACUAAUUUCAUGAGUAUUUACUCAACCACAACAAGGAUUUAUUACAAAGAGUCAGAGAAUAUUUUUACGACUUAAACUCAUGACCUCAUAAUUAUCUAACAAUAAUUUUAUCAGUUAAAGCAAGGUAAAAUAUAGUAACGGAGAAUUUUACCUUUUAAAAUGAAGUCAUAGAGUUUGUUGUCCUUCAAGUGGAAUUGUUCUCAAGUAUUGGUCAUAGGUUCCUUAUAUAUUUUAUAUUUAUCUAAUCUACAUAAAAAAUAAUAACUAAUUAAAUGUAGGGGCUGCCCACAAAGACAUGAUUGAGUGUUUGGGAGGUGGAUCUCUUAUGCGGAGACAUGAGAUUGAAUUCAGUCUCUGUCUGCCACUCAGUCAUAAGUUUGUCACGUGGGGUUUACCUAGUGUGAUUUAUAUUUUCUGUGUAGUUUUCGAGCUUUUGCACAGUGAAUAAGGUGCUCAUUACAGAGUGCUCACUCAAAGAACAGAGAUUAUGACAGAAGUUGUGGGUUUCGUGGAGGGGUCCCAAAAAAAUAAAUGUAGGGGCAAAAAGGGAAUAUUAGGUCAUGUGAGGUUUAGAUUCUCUGAGUUCAUGCAUUCCAGCCCAUGAAAAGCAUGGGGCCCCAAAAACGCUUUUUAUUAAAGAAUUUGGACCCCACCUUUCUAAUAUUAAUUGGGCUUUUCACUUUUGGACUACUUUCCGUUAAAGAUAAAUGUAUGGCCCAUAUGGCCUAGUUGCUCAAUUUGGUAUUCUACAUUUAGGGGCUAGUACUUGUACAUAUUAGACUCUCUCUCUUGUGAGUCCGUGUCCGUCGAAAACAAUCUUUUUACUCAUAAAAUUAAGGAUAAAAGAUUCGUUUAAUCAUAAAUUCUGAAAUUAAAAUGUAUUGAAUUGAGUGUUUAAAAUUGCGACUUUUGAAACUUAAUUGUGUUUAGACAUGUAUUUUACAUGAAGAAAAUUGAUUUUUAGUGAGUGGAAGUUUCAAAAACUGAUCAAACCCGUUUUUGGAACUUGAAAUUGUUCUGAAGACUAAUUUUCAAAAUAUGAUCGAAAAUCUAUGGCAAGUAGAUUUUUAAAGAUAAAAUUUUAAAAUAUAAUUUAAAAGUUAAGGUACAUUCAAUUCUUUUCUGAUCUUAUUUGUGAAAUUAUAUCGAGAAUGUUGUUGUACUCCACUCAUGAUUGCGGUUGGAUAAAUAAAUUACUUUUUAUUUUAGACUUAAUUGUAAAAUGUCUUUUAAUUGUAAAAUGCCUUUUAAUCAAUGUAACUAUGUAGGCAUAUGAUUCAUUAUUAUACUUGUAAUAAUAUAAUAUGCACCAAUUUAAAUAAAUAAUUCCUUUUGUAAAUGAACAAUUUCCUCUUUUUUUUUUUUUUUUUUUUUUUUUUUUUAAAUAAAAACUUUCCCUUUUUUUUUUUUUUUUUUUUUUUGGAUGUAUUAGACUCCUAGAAAAUGUCACCUCACAAAGACCUUUCGAGUUCUCUAACCUAUUAGAAUCGUUUAAUUAAUACAUCAUUUUAAAUAAAAAAACUGCUCAUCCUCUUACUGAUUUUUAAAAAUACUCCCUCCGUCUCAAAUUAUGUGUCUUCAUUUUCUUUUUGGUCCGUUCCAAAAAGAACGUCACCGUUUCUUAUUUAGUAAAUUUUUAAAAACACAAUUACAAUUUUACCCUUAGUGGUCCCACUUGACUUUAAAUACUAUUACUUCUUUUUUUAUUUAUUUUUCAAGUAAAAGUGGUUUUACUUGAUUUUAAAUACUAUUACUCCUUUUUUAAGAAGGGUAAUUUUGUAACUUUAACAAAAUUAACAUUUAUUUCUUAAAUAUCGUGUCUGGUCAAAUAGUGAUAUAUAAUUUGGGACGGAGAGAGUAAUAAUUUUGAAUGUGUCAUUAUCAAAGAAAAAUGAGACCCAUAAUUGGGCAUCUUUUCUUGGUGACGCAUAUAUGAUAUGAAAGCUAAAGUUCUUUGUAAACAUCUACUACUAUUUGCCCACAUGCAUUUAUUCCAACAGACUAUUAUAUUUUCUAUUAUAAAAAUUUACAAAAAUAAUAAAGACAUUAUUUUAGGUAUGUGUCUCUCUUAGGGUCGUUUGGUAGAGUGUAUUGAAAUGUUAAUGUUUGCAUUAGUUUAAUGUGUAUUACUAAUAUCUUGUUUGGUAUACAUUUUUAUCCUAUGUAUAACUAAUGCAAGCAUUAGUUAUACACUCUAUUGUGUAUUAAGGUGUGUAUUACUAAUACCUCAAAAUUCAUGGCAUUAGUAAUGCAAUGGAUCUAAUGCAUGCAUUAACAUACUUAAAGACCCUAUUACCCCUCAAAAAAAAAUUUCCGCAUCCUUUCCAACAUUUCUAUUGAGGGUAUUAUGUAAAAAAAAAUUAAAAAAAAUUAGAAAUUAUGUAAUUCAUGUUUUUUUUAAUACAUCGAACCAAGCACUGCAUAAGAAAAAUACAAGCAUAACUAGCACAAGCAUUACUAAUAAUCCAUAUUUUACAUUAUUCUUAUAUACUCUACCAAACGACCCGUUAGUCUCUUUGUUUAACAAAUGAAAUUAUUGAAUGGUAUGACAGAAAAAUUAGGAAGAAUUCGAAAUUUAAAUUUAAUAAGUUAAAUCUUUAAAGUUGUUAGUACAAAAGAUAUUGUGCUUUGAUCCAAACAUGGGAACUUACUUCAAGUGAUAAUAAUCGUGGUUUAGGUUACAUAUUUGAGUCUUAUUCCAUGCGAAUUAAGCCUGGUGUCUAAAUGGAGAAACGUUAUAUUUAUCAUACAAUUCAAAAUCCAUAAUCCAAAUCUUAAAUCCAUCACUAUAUACAUGUAAAUUUUUUAGUGAUUUUUUUUCUACAUUUAUUUAUUUAUUUAUGUUUCAUGCUGAAAACAUUACGAUUCAAUCUCUAAUUAUACAUGGCAUUAUUUUUUUUAAAAAAACAGGGAUAAUAGUAUUAGCAUAUCAUAUGGAGGUGGGACCACCACCGGAGCAACCGGGAGUGGCGGUGGUGGGCCCACCACCAACGGCGAAAACGACUUCUUUGGAAUGAUGUUUGGGAGCGCCACACCACAAAAUUUAUCAACAACUACUACUAUACUAAUGUCACUUUUAAUUAUUUUAGUUUUGUAUAUUACCAACAACUAUGGUGGCCAAUUAUCAUUACAAUUAUUGUUAUUAUUAUUACUAUAGCAUUUGAUUAGGAGAGAAGAAUAUUGUUAUAUUUAUUCAAGAAAAAGAAUCAAAAGUUAUAAGGAAAGGAAAUUGGAAUUUGACGAAGAUGAAUGACAAGGGUCACAAUUUUUGUUUGUACAUAAUUAGAUUUUGCUGGGAAUGUCAAAAGAGGAAUUUAUGGGUUGUUAAAACAUUGUGUCACCAAUUCAUUUUCACUUCUUUUUAAUUAAUUUAUGUGACGUACUUUUUUUAAAUUUGUCAAAUUGAAAAUAGUUUUAUUUUUAAAUUUAAUUUCAACUCUUAGUAACAUGAUACUAUUUCACUUGUUUUUACUUAGAAACCAAAAAAUAUCUAGAAAAUUGAAAAAAGUGAAAAAGAGUGAGAUUUGAAAAUAGAAAUUGCUUCUGAAAUAAAGGAUCUAAAAAUGAAUCAAAGGGAUCCACUAAAGAAGAUAUGGCUUCUCAAAAUGUCAAUUCCGAUCGCGCUCACAAUUGCCUAACAAAAAUAGUAAAAUGUCUAUUAUUUUUCGAUCAAUACUUGACUAGAUACGAAAUCUACUUUAACAGAAAUUCACAGAAGUAUUUAAAGCUUAUCUUAAAUUAUAAUUUAAUUUAAUUUAAUUUAAUUGUUCCAUCUAAAUUGGGAUUAUGAAGGUGGGUGGGGAAAGGGAUUUACUUAUUUGAUUGAAAGGGAAUGUCAAAGAGGUAUUUAUGGGCUGUUAACUACUACGUCCCACCACUUAAUUUCACUAAUUUUUUCAUUUUCGUCUUGUGGGGUUCUUGAGUACGACUUGAAUUGGCAAUUAUGGGAUUCUUUGACUUUUUGUGUUAGGGUUAUUAAUUAAAGAGUGUAAAAAUUUAUUAAAUUUUAGAAAGAUAGAGUAUGGUUGGCCAUGGUUUCAUUUACGGAUCAUACAUCAAUUUCAGAGCCAAUUAUGGCUUUUUAGCCUUUUUCAAUACCAAACAUUUUGAUUGGAUAUGUUCUUUGUUUUCUAGGCCUAAUAAUCGUAUCAUUAUUUCAAAGACAAUUGAUGUAAUCUCCAUGUGCGAGUGAUUUGAGGAAAUUCUAAACAUCCUUUCCACUUAAUAAUAAUUCACAACAUUUCAAAUUAAUUAUGCAAGAUAAGACUGCAUAUAAUAUAUCUCUAUGAUUCGACUCAUCCUUGGUCCUCGCACAUAGUGAAGAUUUUAGUGUGACGGAAUGCCGUUGAUCUCAAUUUAAUAAUGCAAACUAAGUCACAUUUUACUUGUGGAUCCACCAUGAAGUUUGAGGGUCGGUUUCCCAAUCAAAAGAGCAUAUUAUUGUGGAUCCACCAUGAAGUUUGAGGGUCGGUUUCGCAAUCAAAGGAGCAUAUUAACAAUCGUUUGUGGAUAGAGUUACUUGACACUGUUUAAAUAAUAACAUUUAAAAAGAGAUAUAUGUCACAACAAUGUACAAGUAUAUAUUGGGGGCCAACCCUCUUAGCGCAUAACGAUAUUGAUAGAUUGGAGAAAGCAAAUCAGUAAGAAAAGAAUCAUAACCAGACGUCCAAUUGGAAAAUAAAAAAAAGAGAGAUUUAAAAAUAGCAAUCAUGGCCAGUAUUCAUGCCUGCUUUCUAAAAUAUAGUUACCAUCAUUAAUUUCAAAUUUCACGAAUGAAACUUAAUAUUGUUAUCCUACAGUACCAUUAGUCAAUUUUGAAAUUCUAAAAUGUUAGUUCUCAAGUUAGAGGCUACUUAUACAUUUAUUACACCGGGAGGGAGAGGUGAAAAUGUAAGAGAAUGCUACAAUACUAAAACAGUUGAAACCGCCACCUCAAUGGUAAAUGAGCUAAUCCUCAACUCAUAGUACUUCGUAUUAGGCAUUUUAAUUACUUUCAAAGGUGUCUUAACAGCUUCUGUUAUUUCAAUUGUUGAGAACCUUAUAAUUAAACCACAUUAUUCGUAGUGUAAACAUACCAUACCUAGAGAUCAUAGUAUGGGAGGUAGACUCGAAUUCUUUAUAUAAGAGCAUCAGACCCCUCAUAUCUAGUUUGUUUUGAUUUAGUACACUUGUCUGAGACUUUAAUGCCAAGUAACGUCAAUCAACCCUAAGUCCUCAAUAAACCAGUAGAACGAAAAGCUCUUUCGAUAAUACACAUGUGAGCAAUCAAUCAUAACAUGAACUCAACCGGCAUCCCCCUACCAGUUCAUGAGCGUGGGUGCUUGGUCACUGACCACAGCACUGCAGGGCUUAAGUGGCACGUACUCCCUAAUCAUUUCCUUCUUUCAAUGGUAUGCCACGAUUUAUAGCCCUCCCUAUUAAAUAACAAGAGUGCAAAGCCUUGACAAAUAUUGGAUGAACCAUUAAAAUUGAGAAUACAACGUCCAGUGUGGAAAGGGUUCAAAUUUUGAUAAACUAUAUUUGAUUCGAGGGUUGGAAGGUGGACUCUUGGUAGCUUUAAGCAAUUUAAGGUGCUAAAAAAAUGUUGAUCCCUGCAGAUUAAGCUCCAAGUGUUCAUGGAUUGUCAUGAAGACCCCCCAAAGUAAGCAUCAAACAGAAGUAAAUAACAUAACUAGACAACAAAGAUAACUUGGCCAAACACAAUCUAUGCCAAUGGCUACAUGUUAGAGUGAUUGUGAAAGCAAGCACCACGACAUAAUAUCAGUCUCAAAAGUGAAUGAAAAGUCUAUGAAGCAUCCAAACAUUCAAAAAGUUUACGUCCUACAAUCCAAGAGCAAUAACUUAAGAUGCAUCCAGCAUCUAAAUACCCAGUUCAUGCUUCCCCCAAGACAUAGUGCGCCCUGUUCUUUUACAAACCAUAAAUAAUUACAUGGAUAGCCCAAGCGACCCGUCAAAGCAAAAUAACCUGCAUAAAUGAAGGAUAAAAUCAUUACAUUGUUCAACAAGGUUGGUUGAUGAAAAUGCGAGCAACUAACUGGUCCAUACAAAAACACCUAUACAUUAAACAUAUAUUUUCCAGUUUCAAAUAAAACAGAUCAAUUUGCAGCCAGUUUAAAGCAUAACAAUCUCAACUGAGCAAGUAGACUAAGCAUUGUAUAGUGAAAAUUUAUGCAGUUUCAAAUAGAUAAUCUUUUAAUGUAAAAAUGUUGAGAUUGUCAUACCAAAUAUCUGCAAGUAGAAUCUGAGCAUCAUAUAGGGCAAUGUUUUAGAGUAUAAGCAGGAUAUAAUUUAUGGACGUAUAUUUACCUUCCAAGGAUGUCACCAGCCUCCCUGACUGCCAGAACUGUUUCCUUUGCCCCAAGAGCUGGUUGCUUUACCCCAUGCAUCACUUGGUCCGUCACUUGUUUCUUUUGAUUUGUUCACAUCCUCAGUGUUGGAUUUGUUUGCAUUCCAAGCUAUGCUCGCAUUUCCUGAACCAGUUCCCUGGUUCCAACUAGUUCCCUUGCCAUUCUGAUCCUCCUUUUCACUAACAGUUGUCUGCUGACCCCACCCUGACAAUGUACCACCUGUAGUAGCGGUAGAUGUUUUCCAACUAUUUCCUGGAGUAUUCCAACUGGUGGUUACACCACCACUUCCACUCGCACUCUUUUCGGAGUCGAAUCCUUUCUUCCACCCACCAUCAUCAGCAUUACCUCCUGUAGCAGUACCUGCUGUUUUCCAACUACUUCCUUGAGUGUUCCAACUGGUGGUACUAGCACCGCUUCCACUCGCAUUCUUUUCGGAAUCAAAUCCUGUCUUCCAGCUCCCUUUGUCAGUGUUAUCUUGACUCCAACUGCUCUUAUUAGAUUUCCAUCCAUCAGCAUCACUGCCUGCGCCUUUGCUCCAACUGUAGGGUUUAUCUUCAUGCGAAUCAGUUCUAUUCUGCCAUUCACCACUUUCAUCCCUCCUUCCAUGCCCUCUGCCACGAAAUCCUCCACCGUCUGAUCCUCUACCACGAUAUCCUCCUCCAUCUGAUCCCCUGCCACGAAAUCCUCCACCGUCUGAUCCUCUACCUCUAAAACCUCCUCUGUCCCCUCUACCUCGAAAACCUCCCCGGCCUCCAAAACUACCACCAUCUGAACCACCCCUACCUCCAAAGCCACCACCAUCUGAACCACCCCUACCUCCAUAUCCACCCCUAUCUGAUCCACCACGGCCUCCCCUCCAACUACCACCUCUCCCCCUGUCACUGUAAGAAUCAGAUUGCUCAUUGUUGCUACCAACGCCACUUCCAGAACUCCAGUUACUUUUGCUGCUCCAAGAAUCUUGAGUUCCACCAGCAUCAUUUGUUCCACUCUUCCACGAAUUACUUUGACCCCAUCCUGUAGCUGAACCUCCAUCAGAAGUUCUUUUACUACUCCAUGGAUCAUUUUGACUUUUUCCACUUCCAUCUUGUUCAACUGCUGCAGAUUUGCUAUUCCACGCAGAGGAGCUCCCUUCUGACUCUUUCUGGGUAAUCUUGUUAUCCCAACCACCCGCUCCACUCACUUCAGCAGAUUUAUUGUUCCAAUCAGACUGGUUUCCACUAGAACCUCCUACCUCCUUUGUGGCUGAAUUUUUAUUCCAACCAGAAGACCAUCCAGCAUUUGAUCCUUGGUUUUGUCCAGAGAGAUCUUCCUUACUAGAUGCCACUUGCUGGCUCCAACUAUCUGCUUUCUGGCUUCCCUCAAAUGAUGUGGAUUUUCCCCAACCAUGUUCUUGCGAAUUAUUCCAACUAGACUGAUUCCCCUUAAAUGCUACAUUAUUAGAAUUAUUAUUAUCUUCACCAUCAUUAGUCCAGCUGCCAGAUCGUCCUUGAUUAAAGGAUCUUCCUCGACCACUUUCAUCUCGACCUCCUCGCCAACCACCUCGUCCUCUCCUGCCACCUGAUCCACGACCUCCAUCAAAUUCUCUUGGCCUUCCCCAGCUCCCUUCUUGGUCUGUACCACCACCAUUGUUCCCACUCUCACCUUUCCAACCACCAAACGUACCACUUGGCUUUUUCCAACUUUCAUUUUGAUCAGACCCUUUUGACUCCUCGGUGGUUUGAUCCACCGGCUUACCCCAAGAUGAACCCCCUGCAGCUUGUUUACCCCAAGAAGACCCACCAUCCUGUUUGCCCCAAGUAGAUCCACUAUCUUCGCCCCCACCAGACCCAGCUUCUUUCUUAUUCCAAGCUGAUCCACCACUUCCUUUGUCCCAUAACGUAACUCCAGCUUGCUUGGUGAAAGAUACAUCAUCCUUUUUAUUCCAUGAAGUACCAUCAUUUGGCUUGCUCCAAGAGGUUUUGCUGUCGUCAGCCUUGCUCCAGCUAGAUCCACCAUCUUGCUUUUUCCAGUCGUUCUCUGCCUUCGUAUCUGAUUGCUUAACCCCCCAAGAGGAUCCACCUUCACCUUCAUUCUUCUUCCAAGAAGAUCCAGCAUCCUGCUGGCUCCACGAGGUUUUGCUAUCUGUCUGAUUUGAUCCACCAUCUUGCUUUUUCCAUCCAGUUUCUGCAUUUGCAUCAGAUUGCUUACCCCAAGAAGAUCCACCCGCUUGCUUACUCAAAGAAGAGCCACCAUCAUUUUUAUUCCAAGAAGAUCCGGCUCCCUGCUGACUCCACGAGGUUUUGCUAUCUGUCUUGUCCGAACCACCAUCUUGUUUAUUCCAGUCAGUCUUUGCAUCAGAUUGCUUUCCCCGAGAAGAUCCACCAUCCUGCUUGCCCCACGAGGUUUCUUGAUGUGAUUCAACCUUUUUGCCCCAGCCAUCAGACGCACCACUAGUGACACCAGCAGUAGAAGCAGCUUUCCCCCAACCAUCAUCUUGCCCAGAGCCAGUGUUCUCUUGAUGUGAUUCAACCUUUUUUCCCCAGCCAUC